AUUGAACGCUGGCGGCAGGCCUAACACAUGCAAGUCGAGCGGAUGAUGGGAGCUUGCUCCUUGAUUCAGCGGCGGACGGGUGAGUAAUGCCUAGGAAUCUGCCUGGUAGUGGGGGACAACGUUUCGAAAGGAACGCUAAUACCGCAUACGUCCUACGGGAGAAAGCAGGGGACCUUCGGGCCUUGCGCUAUCAGAUGAGCCUAGGUCGGAUUAGCUUGUUGGUGAGGUAAUGGCUCACCAAGGCGACGAUCCGUAACUGGUCUGAGAGGAUGAUCAGUCACACUGGAACUGAGACACGGUCCAGACUCCUACGGGAGGCAGCAGUGGGGAAUAUUGGACAAUGGGCGAAAGCCUGAUCCAGCCAUGCCGCGUGUGUGACGAAGGUCUUCGGAUUGUAAAGCACUUUAAGUUGGGAGGAAGGGUUGUAGAUUAAUACUCUGCAAUUUUGACGUUACCGACAGAAUAAGCACCGGCUAACUCUGUGCCAGCCGCCGCCGUAAAAC
rnacentral:rRNA from 1 species